rnacentral:rRNA from 1 species
AACGGCCAUAUAAUGCUGAAUAUACCGGUUCUCGUUAGAUCACCGAAGUCAAGCAUCGUGGGCGCGGUCGAGUACUUCGGUGGAAGGUGACAACUGGGAACACCGCGUGCC